UACGUAGGGGGCAAGCGUUGUCCGGAAUCAUUGGGCGUAAAGCGCGUGUAGGCGGUCCGGUAAGUCCGCUGUAAAAGUCGGGGGCUCAACCCUCGGAUGCCGGUGGAUACUGUCGGGCUAGAGUACGGAAGAGGCGAGUGGAAUUCCUGGUGUAGCGGUGGAAUGCGCAGAUAUCAGGAGGAACACCAAUAGCGAAGGCAGCUCGCUGGGACGUUACUGACACUGAGGCGCGAAAGCGUGGGGAGCGAACAGG
rnacentral:rRNA from 1 species